CUCAAACCCAGAUGAAAAGAAUAUCCAGGUCCAAUCAACCCUGGCGAGCCAAGUGAAGGCCACACUGGGGCCACACGAUGGGGCCAGCAUUUCUGGAAGCCACAAUGUGCGUGGCCGUCACCUGCGGCCAAAGGGAUAGGGCAGCUUUGUUUUACAAGCAAUUGUAUUGAUGUGGGGAAAAUGGAAACCGAAUGACUCUGUAAUUUGGUAAGAGGGUUCACAGAAAGGGCCGGGCUUCGUGGGGCCUAGCUGGGGAGAAGGAGAGGGUGUCCAGUGUUCUCAGGCCUGGGCCUGAGGGAAGGUACACGGAGUGGGGGGCACGGGAUGGGGCCUGUGAGUGCCCCCAGGGGAGAGUUCUUGCCAGACGGCGGGAGUGUCCAGCCGGGGAGAGGACCCAGGCAUGCGUUCUGUGCGCCUUAGCGUGAGUCAGCCCCAGCAGCCUGGUCAGCCCUGACUGUCCUGGUCGUUGGGAACGCCAGCAGGGGACAGCCACUGAGGGGGACUUCAUCAUCCGCACCACCAAGCCCUCCAUGCCUGUCACCAGCAAGCCUGUGAGACACGCUUCGGGACCGGGACCUGAGCUUGGCGGGAGGCUGCCUCUGGGCCACCUGACCGCCCUUCCUCCUGGACGUGGAGCUGCAGGGAACACAGCCAGACCCGGGACAGGGAAGGAACGAACAUGCAGCGGCAGGAGAGGGGGUAGGAGGAAGAAAACACUGGAAGGAUAAAUCAGAUCUAAUAAAAAUUGGUUCUCAGA